GUGUCAGCCGCCGCGGUAAAACGUAGGUGGCAAGCGUUAUCCGGAUUUACUGGGCGUAAAGGGUGUGCAGGCGGGACUGCAAGUGGUGUAUGAAAUCUCCGGGCUUAACCUGGAGGGGUUAUGCCAGACUGCAGUUCUAGAGGGCGAGAGAGGGGGGUGGAAUUCCGGGUGUAGUGGUGAAAUGCGUAGAGAUCCGGAGGAACCCCAGAGGCGAAGGCGGCCCCCUGGCUCGUACCUGACGCUCAGCCACGAAAGCAUGGGGAGCGAACGGGAUUAGAAACCCCAGUAGUCC
rnacentral:rRNA from 1 species